GGGCAAGAGACAACUACGUCAACUUCAGGAAAAGAAAGCGCCUACGACACGGAUAAAUGCAUCGAAAUCACUCUCCCGAAUAUUUUGCAGCUCGAUGAGUGCCUUGGAGAUAACCUCAACCUCUGCAAGGGA
rnacentral:lncRNA from 1 species